UACGAAGGGGGCUAGCGUUGCUCGGAAUCACUAGGCGUAAAGCGCACGUAGGCGGAUCUUUAAGUCAGGGGUGAAAUCCCAAGGCUCAACCUUGGAACUGCCUUUGAUACUGGGGAUCUCGAGUCCGGAAGAGGUUGGUGGAACUGCGAGUGUAGAGGUGAAAUUCGUAGAUAUUCGCAAGAACACCAGUGGCGAAGGCGGCCAACUGGUCCGGUACUGACGCUGAGGUGCGAAAGCGUGGGGAGCAAACAGG
rnacentral:rRNA from 1 species